GUAGGGGGCAAGCGUUGUCCGGAUUUACUGGGCGUAAAGAGCGUGUAGGCGGCCAAGCAGGUCCGUUGUGAAAACUGGAGGCUUAACCUCCAGACGUCGACGGAAACCGCGUGGCUAGAGUCCGGAAGAGGAGAGUGGAAUUCCUGGUGUAGCGGUGAAAUGCGCAGAUAUCAGGAAGAACACCAAUGGCGAAGGCAGCUCUCUGGGACGGUACUGACGCUGAGACGCGAAAGCGUGGGGAGCGAACAGGAUUAGAUACCCUGGUAGUCCACGCCGUAAACAAUGUUCACUAGGUGUUGGUGGUAUUGACGCCAUCAGUGCCGCAGCUAACGCAUUAAGUGAACCGCCUGGGGAGUACGGCCGCAAGGUUG
rnacentral:rRNA from 1 species